rnacentral:rRNA from 1 species
GAGUUUGAUCCUGGCUCAGGACGAACGCUGGCGGCGCGCCUAACACAUGCAAGUCGAACGGAGCUUAGAGGAGCUUGCUUUUUAAGCUUAGUGGCGAACGGGUGAGUAACGCGUGAGUAACCUGCCCUAGAGUGGGGGACAACAGUUGGAAACGACUGCUAAUACCGCAUAAGCCCACGGUACCGCAUGAUACUGAGGGAAAAGGAUUUAUUCGCUUUAGGAUGGACUCGCGUCCAAUUAGCUAGUUGGUGAGGUAACGGCCCACCAAGGCGACGAUUGGUAGCCGGACUGAGAGGUUGAACGGCCACAUUGGGACUGAGACACGGCCCAGACUCCUACGGGAGGCAGCAGUGGGGGAUAUUGCACAAUGGGGGAAACCCUGAUGCAGCGACGCCGCGUGGAGGAAGAAGGUUUUCGGAUUGUAAACUCCUGUCGUUAGGGACGAUAAUGACGGUACCUAACAAGAAAGCACCGGCUAACUACGUGCCAGCCGCCGCGGUAAUUC